AUUGAACGCUGGCGGCAUGCCUUACACAUGCAAGUCGAACGGUAACAGGGAGCUUGCUCCGCUGACGAGUGGCGAACGGGUGAGUAAUGCGUCGGAACGUGCCGAGUAGUGGGGGAUAACGCAGCGAAAGUUGUGCUAAUACCGCAUACGUACUGAGGUAGAAAGUGGGGGACCUUCGGGCCUCACGCUAUUCGAGCGGCCGACGUCUGAUUAGCUAGUAGGUGAGGUAAAGGCUCACCUAGGCGACGAUCAGUAGCGGGGCUGAGAGGAUGAGCCGCCACACUGGAACUGAGACACGGUCCAGACUCCUACGGGAGGCAGCAGUGGGGAAUAUUGGACAAUGGGCGAAAGCCUGAUCCAGCCAUGCCGCGUGUGUGAAGAAGGUCUUCGGAUUGUAAAGCACUUUAAGUUGGGAGGAAGGGCAGUAAGUUAAUACCUUGCUGUUUUGACGUUACCGACAGAAUAAGCACCGGCUAACUCUGUGCCAGCCGCCGCCGUAACAC
rnacentral:rRNA from 1 species